rnacentral:rRNA from 1 species
UACGUAGGGAGCGAGCGUUGUCCGAAGUUACUGGGCGUAAAGCGCGCGUAGGCGGGCUGUUAAGUGAGAGGUGAAAGGCUGGGGCUCAACCCCAUGCAGUGCCUCUCAUACUGGCGGUCUUGAAUUCGGCAGGGAGAAGUGGAAUGGCUGGUGUAGCGGUGAAAUGCGUAGAUAUCAGGAGGAACACCGGUGGCGAAGGCGGUUCUCUGGGCCUUACCUGACGCUGAGGAGCGAAAGCGUGGGGAGCAAACAGG